rnacentral:rRNA from 1 species
UNUGACUUGAGUGCAGAAGGGGAGAGUGGAAUUCCAUGUGUAGCGGUGAAAUGCGCAGAUAUAUGGAGGAACACCAGUGGCGAAAGCGGCUCUCUGGUCUGUCACUGACGCUGAGGCUCGAAAGCGUGGGUAGCGAACAGGAUUAGAUACCCUGGUAGUCCACGCCGUAAACGAUGAGUGCUAGGUGUUAGGCCCUUUCCGGGGCUUAGUGCCGGAGCUAACGCAAUAAGCACUCCGCCUGGGGAGUACGACCGCAAGGUUGAAACUCAAAGGAAUUGACGGGGGCCCGCACAAGCGGUGGAGCAUGUGGUUUAAUUCGAAGCAACGCGAAGAACCUUACCAGGUCUUGACAUCCCGAUGCUAUUCUUAGAGAUAGGAAGUUACUUCGGUACAUCGGAGACAGGUGGUGCAUGGUUGUCGUCAGCUCGUGUCGUGAGAUGUUGGGUUAAGUCCCGCAACGAGCGCAACCCUUAUUGUUAGUUGCCAUCAUUAAGUUGGGCACUCUAGCGAGACUGCCGGUAAUAAACCGGAGGAAGGUGGGGAUGACGUCAAAUCAUCAUGCCCCUUAUGACCUGGGCUACACACGUGCUACAAUGGUCGGUACAACGAGUUGCGAGCCGGUGACGGCAAGCUAAUCUCUGAAAGCCGAUCUCAGUUCGGAUUGGAGGCUGCAACUCGCCUCCAUGAAGUCGGAAUCGCUAGUAAUCGCGGAUCAGCACGCCGCGGUGAAUACGUUCCCGGGCCUUGUACACACCGCCCGUCACACCACGAGAGUUUGUAACACCCGAAGUCGGUGAGGUAACCUUUUAGGGGCCAG